rnacentral:lncRNA from 1 species
CAAAUUGGUCGUUCCAUAAAGUGGCACUUUUUAGUGUUACAUAAUAACGGAUUUAACGAUACGAUACAAUAAAAUUUAGAUAAAAAUCAAUAUAAACAUUAUAUUUAAAGUAACAAUACGUUACAAUACAACAAGUAACAACCACCCAAACAACAUGUAAAUGAUAUAGCUAAUAUCCUCUCGCAACAAAGAGACUCGAUGUAUUCUUUUUGACAAGAGACAGAUCUACUUUGUGGGUUGAUGAAUCAUGGAACUGUCACGACCCCAAAACUAAUCCGGUCGUUAUGACGCCUAUUAUGGGACUAGGCCAGCCGACACAUGACCAAAAUAAUACAAAUUUCAAAAUAAAGAUGUUUUUAAACUAUUAAUUAAUAAAACUUUGUAGCAUAAGUCUAAAUAACAAGGUGAGGAAAGAAACAAAAGCCUGAAUUGGAGUGUCACAACUCACGAGCAUCUACUAAGGACUAUCCGAUAACAACUAAGACUAUUACAGUCUGAAAAACACAUAUAGUCUAAAGGAAGAUAGGAAGGAGAAGAGCAAGGUUGCGAUCGCUAUGCAGCUUCCUUGCCAACUCCAAAGUAUCCGCGGUGGAUGAAAGAUCAAAGUUCGCUAUCGCAUCCAACAACCCCUUAAUCUGCAUACAAGGUGCAAGGAGUAAUGUGAGUAUACCAACUCAGUAAGUAAUAAAGGUAAAUAAAGAAUGAGCAGUAAGAAAACACAUAAAUCCACGUCAUGAAAUCUCAGUAAAUACAAUAUGCUUUCAAAUCAGUAUACAAGUCAAAUCAUCUUGUUUAAAAUCCAAUAUUGGUAAAACUUAUUUGAAGAUAUUUUCAAUAGUUUCAACAGAGGUUUAAUGAAAUUUAGAGUAAAAGUGAUAAAAACCAUAAAUAGCCCCUCGGGCAAAAUAUGUAUCAUAAACCGCCCCUCGGGCAUAACUUCACUUAGAAUCAGCCCCUCAGGCAAACCUCACAAUCACUCGUAAUCAACCUCUCGGGCAAAAUAUGAAUCAAGAAUAGGACCUCGGGUAAUAUCAUAUCACUCACUCAGGGUACCCCUGCUCAUUGGGGGUACACAAACUCCGAAUGGACUCCUACAUCCAACCAUUAUAACAAGCCAUAUCGUGGCAUAAUCAAUCAUACCCUCGCCCUCUCAUAUAUCAUAAAUCAGUAACAACUUGUCGCGGCGCGUAUCCCUAUCCCAUAAUAUCCUCACGACACAGGCCCUCGGCCUCACUCAGUCAGAAACCUCUCAAGCCACUCGGGCUAUCAGUAAAAUAGGGUGCUCAUGCAUAAAGAAAUUAAUACUUAUUCACAUGCAUAAAGAAAAUGGCAGAAUCCUAACCAGCUUGCCUAGUGGGUUUAGCCUGUUAAGCUUAAGCAGUUUAACACAAUCAAACACAGUUCCCAGUUAAUGCAUAGAUGGAUUACCUAAGGCUUGCCUAGGUGUGGGUCUUUAUGCAAUCACAAUUACAAGAACUGUUUGAAUAGUUGAAAUCGUUUAACCUAUGAGCAUACUGAUACAUGAUAUAACAUGUAUUUUAUAUCAACUUGUAUUUAGAGACAUGAUGCCUAUGUGUGAGGCUGUUUAACCUUUUCAUACCCAGUUACUUAUUUGGUUGAAACAGACAUGUUCAAUGAAAUACAAACAGAGUUCCUAAAGGCAGGAUAUAUAAUGCAUACAGGAAUGCUAGCUUUAUUAAGAUAGGGUUAUUAGCCUAGAAGCAAUAUCUCUAAGUGCCAAGACUUGUGCAGAAUUAAAGCAUGAAAUAAUGAUAUGUGGCAUGUAGCACGCUGAUGCCAUAGACUUGAAAGCCCUAAAAUCAGGUUAUCUAAUGCACAAGAUCAUCAUAGUUUAAAUGCAAAUGAACAAACUAUCCUAGAACAUGGAUUCUAAUACAAAUUUACAUAACAUAAAGCCUAUGGCAUAUUGUCUACCCUGUUUUACCUACAAUACGACAUAGCUACCCUCCAAUUUCACUAGUUACCCUAAUAUUAUUUACAAUUAAUUAUUACAGACCAAUGAUGGAAUAAAUUACAUAAAUAAAACAUAAAUUAAGCUAUAGGGAGCCUGAAGUAGGACCAAAGAAAAUCCUGGUGUACCAGACCUUUAGUAGUCUCAAAUGCCAAGGAUUUCGUAGCAAAUUAUGUCCAGGUGUGUCGGAGUUCCCUAAGGACCUCAAGGAUCCCCGGCAAUGCUCACACCCAAACUUUCUCAAAUAAGGACUGAUUUGAUGCAGUGUGAAAGAGCCAACUCUGAUAUGCCAGAGUUCUGAGAGAUCUCAAGGAUCUCUAAGCAGUACACAUACUAGAAGAGCAUGACUUAAUAAUCUAAGAGUAAGUGAGAGUGCAUAGUUUUGAAAAUAUUCUAGUGAACAGCAUAAAGAAAUUAAGAGUGAAAAAUUACUAGUUCGGGUGGUAAAACAGCUUGAGAAAUGCAUGAAAAAAUAUUUUUGAUCAGAACACAAAUUACUAAAUAACCAGAUUCAAAAAUACUUGGCAAAUAGAAUCCAUAUAGGGAGAGAGAGGUUAGGGACACAUAAAAAUACACUGUAGUGUAUAGUGGAACACAGAAGCAAAUAGAUAUACAGAAUUACUAAGUUAGUUACAAGGGUAAGUGAUUGAGACAUGGAGCAAAGAUGUUGAGAACACAUAAACCUCAAGCACACAACUAGAGCUGCCUUGAGAGACCUGAUAACUUAGCAAAGCAAAGUAGGAAAGGACUUAAAUGAACAGAUUAGGCAAAACACCACACAAGCAUUCAUAAUAUAGACAUGCUAAUUACAUAUUGAACAAAGCAAUACUAUGCAUGCCAGAUAAACAGUACACAAGCAAGUAAAGUUGAAACAUGCUAAUCACAUAUUGAACAAAAAAACAUUAGGCAUGCUUGAUAAAAAGUAAACAUGAGCAGAAAAUUAACUCAUAACUGAUGAACUAAAGCAGUAAUGAAUUAUAAAGGGUUUAGAUUCUAAAAUUUAAUCAGGCGCAUACCAGUUAGGAAAAGAGAACACAAGAUGUAAGACAGGUGUUGUGCAAUUUCUAGCAUUGGCUUACAGCCGGCAAGAUUAAUGAAGAUCACAUGCAGUAUGAAGAACAAAGAGCUUUUUAGAGUGUAAGAGUAGUGGUGAACUAAUGUUCGUGUCUUAAAUUGAGAGUAGAGGAGAGUGUAUAUAGCAGUUUAGGAGCGGAGCUGAAUAAGGUAAAAGAAAUCAAAACUCAGCAAUUAGGAAAAUUACAAGAUCAAUCACACACGAAAUCAGCAUAGUCUUCAUUUAAUUAAGGACGACUACUCAACGGUUAAAGGACAUGAGUCACUUAAGGCAAGAAAAUCAAAUCAGACUUAAGUAAAGAGGUAAACAAACAUGAAUUUAAUUAAGGAAAUAAUCGUGAGGAAUCAGUAAUAAGAAUAAUUAAAGUCGUAAAUAAGAGAAUAAAUCAAGAACCAACAUAUAAUUUUUAACCAAGAGAAUCAAUAAAUCAAAAUCCAAGUACUGAUUUUAAGGGAGGAAAAAUAUCAGUUUUCCACAAAUAGACGAGUAACCUAAAUCAAAACUUCAUAAACACACAUAAAUUAGCCAAGGAUCGGCUCAGAAAUCGUAGUAGAGAUGAACUAGGGUAAAAGCAACAAGAUAAUGAUUUAGACUAAGGGGGAAAUCAUGAAAGUCAAAGCACAACACAAAUAAUGUAACAAGUAGCUCGAAAAGACUCAAAAUCGAAGCAAAAGCAUAAGAAAAUUAGGGCUUUAAAAUAAACUAGUUAGGGUUGAAGCAAACUCUUCGAAAUCAGUCAAAAGAACAUAAAAAUAGAAGAUUAAAUAGUUAAAAUUAGCAAAACAUUUUGAAGAAAGAGAUUUCAGAAAAUACCUGUUUAGGAAAAUGGGAAGCCGUUCGAAAAUCAGAAGGUAUUUGUAAAAACUCAUGUUAAAUAAGUUUAAUCCAUCUCAGAUCUUGUAUAGAUCUGAGAAGUUCAAAGGACUAAAUUAGAGUUUCGAGAAAAACAUCACGGAUAUGAAGAAGCAGACUUAAAAAUCUAUAGGUUUAAGGCGAAAAUAGGAAGAUCUUACUCGAAAUCAAACCGGAACCGCCUGAAACAUGCAAGAAAGGGACACAGGUGUAAGCGAAAUGACCCUGGUCCCUCGAGGGCCUUAGAGAUGACGAUACCAGGAUAGGAGAGGCCAUUAGAGGCCUGGUGAUGGUGAGAAACCACCAUGAACGACGGUAGACAAAUGACAAUGAGGGUGAGUUAGAAUUAAGAUUGGGAAGCAUUUCAGAGAAGGAGAGGUAAGUGACGGAGGUGAGAGGAGAGAAAAUGAGAGGUUGGGG